rnacentral:lncRNA from 1 species
UCCCACGUAAAUUAAAAAUCAAGAGGAUUUUCAUUUCAUUAUAAUGAUUUAUUCUCUAAAAUAAUCAUCAAAUACACAAUUUUUUAUUCUAUUCCCCCACUAUAUUUCAUUCUAUUCCCCCACUAUAUUUCAUUCUAUUCCAUUCCAUUCCAUUCCAUUCUCUUAUUCCUUCCGUAACCUUACAACUAUUGAGACGGUUG